rnacentral:lncRNA from 1 species
UCUCUUCUGUCUACCUGGGGACUGGGAAGAUGGUAUCCCCUGUCAGAAAAGCAGUUUCUCUGGAAGAGAGAAAGCAAAAGAAGACUGCCUCCUGGAAGUUAGCAGUGAAUAGAACUGACACCUUUCUUCUCACUCACAACAGCUGGCUUCUGAGGAAUGGCCUCCGGGAACAACAGGGCCAGCUGGGACCGGAGGUACAAAGAGUUCUCUCUCUGAGUUUUCUGGAUCAGGGUCACACUGUGUGGAGCUUGGACCUCAAGCAUUCCUCCUCUGAAGGUGAGGGUCAGAUGAUAUGCUGCUCUCUGAGCUGUGACAGUGUGGUUUUCAAAGCUAGCUCUUGAAACUGCUUCAGUUCCACCCUGAAGCACCCACUCCAUGAUUCAGGCCUUUAGAAAUCAGGUGCUCAGUGAGAGGUGUAUGUCAGGGUGGCCUUGCCUACUGGAGGGCCUGCCUUCGCCCUCUCUGGAAGAAUGUCAUCUGCCAGCUGCAAACAAAUAAAUGUAUCAAAGAGAGAAAACAUGACUUAAA